rnacentral:tRNA from 1 species
GUAGCCAUAGUUUAACCAAAACAUUAGAUUGUGAUUCUAAAAACAGGGGUUAAAACCCCCUUGCCCAC